CUGCAAUGAUGUCAUUUCUAAGGACGCCUCUGGAUUAAUCAUGGAAAGCCAGGCAUGGCAGU
rnacentral:snoRNA from 1 species